GGCCUGUGCGUCCCCAGCAGGCGGGUGGCCCUGUGGUGGGUCCACUCGAGACGCCACCGGGGCGAGCGCCACGUGCUGUGUGUUACCAGCUUCCCGGUGAUACUAAUCCUCCAGGCCUGUUUCCAUGGGCGCUUCUGUCAGGGGGUGUUGUUCACAGCCGGGGGCAGGUGGUAUGGGGUGGGUGGCCGAUGGGCUUGCUGCAGCCCGAGGGAGCAAAGUUCUUCACAGCCUGCAGCAGUGCCAGCUUUGCCAGCGUACAUCCUGCACAGGAAUGAACACCCUUCCGGGUGCGACUGCUGAGACUGCCUGGGAGCGCCCUUUCAUGGGCAGCGGAGCUGGUGGCUGAGGAUUUGUAAGCCCUGCUGACCUGGGCCUAAAAGUCUCCGUAUCCUUUUCCCGGUCUGUUGCAUCAUCUGGUGGUUCCCAAACCCCGGGUGAAGAACACUGGGAUUGUGAUAUGAACUAGCAACUCCUUGAGAGUGUGUGAGAAACAGCUCGGUUGUGUAAAUGUGAUGUGUGUUGCAUCUACUCUGAAGCUGACUUCAUAUCCCCUCCUCCCACAUUACUGGUUUAGCCCCUGCCAGCCCAGAGAGCAGAGCUAUCAUACUCAUUGCACGUUUCAUUCUGUAUCUGUUCUGUGUGUGCCUCCUGCUCAGCAACUUUGCUGAAUCAGGCCUCAGGUUUGUGAAUGAGGGUAUGGUAGCUCUGCUCCUUGGGCUGGGAUAGAGGGUUGUUAACUGGCUGAUUUACCUUUGAUGUCACAAUCCCGCAAUGUUACCACCAACCAUGAGCUGUUGUGGGCAGGAGACCGGGGUUUGACAGGGAUGGUACUGAUCUUGCCUGUGCUAGGCUUAGGCUACCAGUUCAUAAGCAGACGUAGCACUGCUGCUUCUCUGAAAUCUUGUGGCACUGGCACCUGUAACUUACCCUCCCGAACGCAUGUUCUUCUCUUUAGCCCUCUUGCUCUCCUAUAAUUUCUCUGUUUCUUGUUCUCACUUUCUCCAUUUUUGUUACUCCAGAUAUCUUCUUCACCUCUCCCCUGCUGAGAUUCCAUUAUGACAUGAUGCUUUUAUAAUAAUAUCACAGGACACUGAAAAAUUUGCAGUUGAUUGUUUAGCUUUGGAUGGAGAUGAGUUACAGUCACCUUGUCUCAGGCGCAACGAAUGGAUGAGGGAUACCGUUUGAGGGUUCAAAGGAAGAGAAACAUUGAUUAGCAUUAUUGUGUGAGGCCACGGUUUUAUUGUCAGAUUCUCGUUAGUGUGUGAACUGCUGAGCCAGCUCCCUUUUCAGUAUUUGCCCCAUAGGCUGUUACUCACUGGGUUUACGUUGUCUUCAGUUUUUCUUUUCUAAGUCUAACUAAUUCCUUUUCUUAUCUGGGGUCUUGUGUUUGAUGCAUAUGGCCAAUUUAUGGCUAUUUAGGUUGUAAACUGUUGGGGAUAGGGCCCAUUAUUUCCUUGUAAGCAUGUACCAGCACAAUGAUUGCUGAUUGGGAUGCAAGGAAUAAUAAUAAUUCACUGAUCAAAGUCAGUCACCUUGGAAAGAUAAUUUAAUCUCAUUUAUAGGUAAGACCAACUCUGGUAUGCAUGCAGCUGUUUAUUAAAUGCUUAUAUGCUUUGCAUUAAUUUGGACCAUAGAGGUGCAAAGCCAGCCCUCGGUAGAGUGUUCUGGGCUAGCGUCCACGGAUGCCAGCUGGGAUGUGGCUAUAUCCAAACUCACGAGUCACAUGCAUGGCCAUUUAUAUAAGAGAAUCCAUUCAGGCUCUCCUGUGAGAUAUGGGAAAUGCCUCUCCCAGCUGAGACCAGCUUACCACCACUCCUUUGACCAGCUUGGCCAUGGGAAGUGAGUCCCAGCUGAGACUAGGACAGUGUGGUUUUUACUCAGCCAGAGGGGAGGUGACUCCCAGCCCAGCUUAGUACAGAAUGGGUCUUACUGGUUUGCUUUUGGGGCAGGCUGCCUUUGGUUCAUUCUAUACAACUGCGGUCUGAACUAUCUGUGGCCCAGUUUGAGUCUCAGUUGUGGUAAUAGGCACCGACUGUAUACAUGGCACAUCCAGUCCUGGAUGGAGGAGAUUGGCUAAUGUCCUUCUAUCAUCUGGCCCCAUUUGGCCAUGUUUUAAAAUAUCACCCUUUUGAUUCCAAUAAUCCUGUUAGAAAUAUCCCAGAACCUGGCACGGGGUGAUUAGCAAGUAGUCCAAAUGGCCAACUCCCAUGAAUCCCUGAGAUUCUGUGGCCCAGAUUUUUCCCGGUAGUAACCCUGUAAUGUCCAUGGAUUGACAGCAGAGAUUAAUUUGUAUCUGAGGCAGGACAAAGCCCAAUUGCUUCUGGGCUGCUCUUAUCAUGGCAGUAUCUUUGGGGAGAGCAGGACAGCUCCAUAGGAGGAUGUACCCACAGUUCUGGGAUUGUUGGGAGCUCAUUUCAUUGUAGAGAGUGCAAACGUUUGCUGUUCAAAAGUGGCUGCUUUUGGGAUGAUGCAGGCUCCUCCUACCAAGGGCCUUCCUUGGACAUCUUGUAAGGAACAGUCAGAGAAUAAAGAUCCUUAUCUCCUAUUCCUUCUUACCUCUUGGAGGCUCUUGCUCUUUGUUCUUUAGGAAGGGACCAAGGCAGUGAUGCACCUAAGUCUGAUAUCAUGUCUCUUCCUUUACAGGGGAAAAUGGCAGCCACUGGCCAGUUGUUAAUCCCAGCCCGGCUCACAGGGAUUCCCUUCCUAAAGGCCUCACAUUUUCAGAUAGGGUUUGACCAUAGACCACAGGGAAACGUUGUUGAAUCUCCUUUCCGCACUGAUUUCCCUCCCUUAUGGGGCAGUUACAAACCAGACCCAAUUCUGCUUCCAAACUCCAAGGAGGUUUUGAAUCAGGAUAUGGAUAAAGCCAGGGAAAACUGGUCAGAAACCCACCUGGCAUUUCCGGUGAGAUCCCUGGAACCAAAGCCCAAAAUCUGUCCGCCAGAAUCUCACCUCCAAAUGCAUGCAGAUUCCCAGACCAAAAUUUUCACCUCAACUGCAAGGGGGAGCUACCCUUGGCCAGACGUGAUGCUGCAGGGACCAGCCUCCACUAGAGCUUAUUACAAUAAGGAGGAAGAUCAUUUUCCUUGUGGAGACAAAGACAAACUAAAGCUCCUGCCUUCUGUCUAUCGUUUUUCAUACCCAGCGUAUGAGAUACUCGAGCCCAUUGCCAGAGCGCCAUCUGUACAUCUGGGAGGAAUUCCCUCAAUUAAAGGUGACAGAUGCUCCUACUAUGGCACUUCUUAUCAAGCACAGUUUGAGGGUGGCUGGAUCCCUCCUGUGAAGUCCUCUAGAAAGAGCAAGUCUUCCAUUGUGUUUGGAGACCCCAGGAGCAGUGUCAGCACCAGCGAGGAGAAACAUGCCUACACUCUCCAGGACACAAGGAACCACAGAGUCUAUGAUAAAGAACAUGCUGUCUUCCAAAUACACAAGACGAACAUCAAGCCAGGGGAUGGUUGCACCAGAUUCUUUACCGUGGCACUGGAGUCGUUCCCUCGGCGGGAGCUAGCCCCUGUGAAAGUUACGUGUCUAAGCAAACAGAAUUCGUCGAUCCCCAAAGGCGACGAAGACCUUGAGAGGAGUAGGGAGCUUGCGACCACCACCACUAGCCGAUUCUUCCACACCCAGAUUGACCUGGGGAAAUGUCCAUCUCAGCCAGAUGUGUCACCGUGGAGACUACAAAGCAAAGUACCCCUGGGUGACAAGCAUUUAAACGCCUGUUUCUUCAGCACAACGCAGCACUCGGAUUAUCAGCCGCCACCCUAUGGCCAGAGGGAGGUGUCCAGCAGCAAGAGCCACCUCAAGAGCCACAUGCCCUUUAAUUAUCCCACAGGUAAAGAUGCUGUCACAACGACACAGGCUAUGCUGGUCCCGCACAGACAGUGGAUGGUCCGGCCCUCGGAGGAGUUGCUGCAGCAGAUUAAAUACUCUCACCUGGUCCCACCAUGGCAGGGGCAGCGCUUCUUUGGGACAGAGCAUCAAGAUGAGUUCACCCCCAAGUACAGUGGCCCUGUGACUAUCUGCGGGGGGAACUUUCAAGUGAGCAGUAUCCCCCUGGGCACCCUGAAGAAGUACUGCCCCCAGAGGCAGAUGGUCUUUGCAACAUAAAGUGCUGCCUUCCUAUGGGGGCUCUCAAUGCCACUCUCCAGGGGCUGCCUACAAAUAAACACAGGAGCAGGUGAUGGGAACCCAUGCGACUGCGAACAAACACUGGGAAAACAGCCCAAAGCUGCAGGGUGAUUCCCUUUGCCAGAAUCACAGGGACCACUAAAGAGCCUGGGCCCAUGUCUCCAAGUACCUCUUCCCCAGGCUGUGAGCUGGCAGGGACAGAGGGAUGUCACCUCUCCGCUGAGUUUAGAUAGAGAGCUCAAAGGCAGAAUGAGAGAUACCGUAAGCUCCAAGUGUGGCGUGGAGUCUCCCCUCAUGAGCACUGGCUGCAUUUCAGCACAAGGUUGGUGAACACGAGUGCAGAGAGGAACCCAAGGCUGAGGAGGUGGCAGGGCAGGGCUGUUCUCCAGGGUGGGGGCAGUGUCUUUGCUACUGGGGUUGUAGCUCACUGUUUUUGCCUGGAUGCUGAGUUUGCACUAAACCUUCUCAGCAUGAAGAUUUUAACGCAGAUGCGGUGCUGUACUCUAGGUCUCCUCCCUGGUGUGGAAGCAGAGUGAGGGGUCAGGUGCUGCCAUGCCAGGUCCCCGUCUCAUGCUCUUCCAUGGAUCUAUAAAAGCAACAUCAUAGAGAAAACAGACUGUGGUUUACUAAACCAUUGUGACCUACUGCAACUCUCAUGUGGACAAGACCCCCCCACAUUAAACAUCUUAAAGGUCUGGGAGAUUUUGAGGCUGCUCUGUUCCCAUCACCAGCUACAGACUCCUAGUAAAGCUCUGGUUUUAUGCCUGAAAAUGUGAAUUCCUAAGGAAUCCUGCAUCUCAUGGGACAAGACAGGGCUGGUGGUAUGAAACAGCCAGAACCUAGAUUUGUUAUGAAAAGCUAAGAUUAGCUGUCCUGAGGAUUCACGGGGGCAGUGGGCUAUGUAGGAAUGUUCUCUAGGGACAUUUACCUGCUUACACAGAAGAAGAGAGAGCACCAAGUGUUGCAAUUUCCUGGUUCGUUAACUGGUAUCUCAUGUUAAAAAUGAGGGUAAUAUCCAGGCUAUCUGGAUUGUAUGGUCCCUGAGGUCGGCCAAAUCCCAAGCUGGUAUAAAUCAUUUACACCACCUGGGGAGCUGACACACGUCCUUUACCUGGUUGUGAUGUAGCAUCCCCAUCUGUGCUGCUGUAGCAAUAAAUCCUCCUACCAAAUAAUCAUUAAUCCCCCCACACCUCUGAUCUGGCCCAGCUGGGCUGGAGAUUGAUGCAGGGCUUAUUGUGAGUGAGGGGCUGAGCUAACCCCCUGCUGCCGCUGGAGAGAUUUGCCAGCAUCCAGAAUAUGUCCCCACAGAGCUGGGUGAGGCUGGUGUCUGCGGAAGCAGUGUCCGGUGGGUACACCUGACCGUGGCUGGUGGUGGUUGCUAACCCACCGGGGUUUCUUACAUGCUGCU